rnacentral:rRNA from 1 species
CGUAGGGCGCAAGCGUUGUCCGGAAUUAUUGGGCGUAAAGAGCUCGUAGGCGGCUUGUCACGUCGGGUGUGAAAGCCCGGGGCUUAACCCCGGGUCUGCAUUCGAUACGGGCUAGCUAGAGUGUGGUAGGGGAGAUCGGAAUUCCUGGUGUAGCGGUGAAAUGCGCAGAUAUCAGGAGGAACACCGGUGGCGAAGGCGGAUCUCUGGGCCUUACCUGACGCUCAGGUGCGAAAGCUAGGGGAGCGAACAGG